AUACGUACUUCGUCCUUUGAACUCGAUUUGUUUUCAAUGUCACCGCGCAAGUAUAUUGCGCUUCGAGCUAAAUUCAUGUGCAAGGAAAGAAAUCAACACGAAGCCAAGGAACCACCAGAAAUCACAAAAAAUGUGCCACGGUUGGCCACCCCUGCCUUAUACGGCUUUCCUACGUGACGGAAGACCGUGGCAAAAAGAAACUCGUGGUCUGGCUGAUUGAGCAAGAACGAAACAGAGCAGAAAAAAAACCCGAGGCGGAAGAACGGAAGGAAAGAAAGACGAAAGUAGAUAGGCAAGUAUAUAAGUGAAGAGACAAAGAAGAUGGAAUUAACGUCGCCGAGCACGCGAAUUCGUAGCACAUGGUUCAUGUCCGGCAAGUUCGAGAGAGGACGAAACACACUUACAGAGGAUUGCAUACAAUUACAUGGAAACUCUACACGACCACGCGCAUAGAUUAGCUACUACUUACGGCGAGAUCUCGAGAAACCUUCGAACGAGUCCAAAACCACUGGUACUGACAGAACAUUCUACCGAUCACAGUGUUCACAGUUUUCGAAUCGACUUAUUUGAAAUUGCAGUUGCGCAUCGCGAACUGAGACUCGACACCCAAAAUUGCUAUGUCACUAUUGUCACUACGUCAUUUAUUGUUUAACGCUAGAACUAACCAAUGACCAAUUGAUAAUUUUCUAUGGAAAUCUCACAUAUUUACAGCAGUGUAUCUUAUACUCGGUGUGACUUUUAACAAAAUAUAUCGAUGGAAGCUUGUAUCCUUUAUACUGAAUUAUCAACUUUAUCUUGUAAUUUCUUUGCUAUAAAUAUCUUAAUACUUUUUCGUCGGUAGUUCUGGUGUUAAUUCCUUUUCCUCUAUCUAGCUAAUUUGCUGCGUUUAUUUUACUUUCAUCUCGAUCUCCUUUUCCUAUUCAACACGGCCUUAAUUGAGGCAAAGAAGACGUAAAAACCUAUAUGGAAAAAUCGGAACUAACAAUGAAGAAAUAAUAGGAGUUGGCCAGAGUUUGGACAAAAUCGUACUGAUAACGUAACGUGCUUCGAUCAUAACGAAAGCAUGCUGUUUGCUUAUCGAAUGAGCCAUUGCGUUAUCCGAUGUGACGUUCCACUUUUUCUCCACUUUUGUUACACGAAAUUCUACGCUCUAGAUUAACUGCUAGAUUAUCUCGUUUUUGAUUCCCUUCGCCGCUUCCGUUUGUACGCAUAAAUUCUAAUUUGAUUGAAUAACAAUCGCGUGAAUAAUCGUCGAUGUCGUCAUUAAACACUGGAAUCGUCGUAACGAAAAACAAAUAUUUCAGUUUUUCUUCUUUCGAUUUCCAAUGCGAUUUUCGCCGCGAUUUAGGUCCUAAUUAUAUAUUUAUUAUUUACAAUAUUUUACGAUA